ensembl:lncRNA
AAAAAGUCCUACCUAUCAUUCGCUGCCGCUGGAAUUUUUUAUUUUUUUAAAAAUAAAAUAAAUUCCCUACCUACCCAUGACAUCAACAGACAACCAACAGGAACCAAACUUUUAUUUAUUUUUGAGGGCUAAGCAUGAGCAAACAAUAGCACAAAGCAUUGAGGAUGCCUUAGUGCUGCCCAUGCCUUAAGCCUCUGUACAUAACUGUCAAUGCUAGAGUGCUGCAGCUGGUUGCACCAGCAGAACGUAAGGUCCCACUUAGGCUACGUUGAACGUAAAUCACCCUAUACCGUCCAAGCAAAUUUUAGAGAAUAAAUGACUGAAACUGUUUUGUUUGCCCUCUCAUUUGGGUGCUAACGCGUCUUCACUCGGAUAAGGUGGAAACUUGCCGGUAUUUCCUGUUUACAUUGUUAGCUGUCAAUGAUUGGCUUGAAAUUAUCUAAACGUCAUUAAAAGCGACACUGGUACAAUUUAUGCACCACUAGUAACGUUACAACUUAAGUUAUGGUGGUGCAACCAAAAUUUAGAACACCUUUAGUUUUGACACUAGCUACGUCGAGCGUAGGGUUAAGGCGGACUUUACACCCGAACUUAUGAUCGGCUUUACGUUCUGCUGGUGCAACCGACUGCCGGUGUCAACCUCAGGCCGCUACUCACCCACUGAGCGAGGUCACUGACGACGGCACCUUCCUGGAGCACACCCCUCCGUCAUCAUCGGGCGGCGAGGGCGGGGGCGAGGGCGUAGGGGCGGCCUCCACCCCGCCCCCCCACCACCACCACCACCACCAGUGGGCCCUGGCCCCAAGCCUCACCCCGGCCUCCCAGCCCUCCAUCUCCCUGCUCACCGACGGCGGCGGGGCCGACACGCUGGGCGUGGAGUCGCUCACCCUGCUGCCCCCCGCCCCCCUCCCCCUCGGGCCCCCCUCCUCCAUCGCCGAGGAGGAAGAGGAAGAGGAGGGGGAGGGGAGGGGAGGGGGAGGGGCCCGGCGACGCGGCCGCGACCCCGUUGGCUGAUUUCCAGGGAGGGGACUCGACCGCAGGCGAUGGGCCCCAGGAGACGAGAGAAGAAGAAGAAGAUGAUGAUGAAGAAGGAGAAGAGGGGGAGACACACAGCCAGCCGACAGACGCACUCGACUCACCAGAGCUCGACUGAAAGACAGACAGACAGACAGACAGACAGACAGACAGACAGACAGACAGACAGACAGACAGACAGACAGACAGAAACACAGACAGAAACACAGACAGAAACACAGACAGAAACACAGACAGAAACACAGACUCAGACAGAAACACAGACUCAGACAGACACACACUCAGACAGACACACAGACUCAGACAGAAACACAGACUCAGACAGACACACAGACUCAGACAGACACACUCACAUAGAGAUCAUGACACACGCACAUAGAGAUCAUUUCACACGCACAUAGAGAUCAUGACACACACACACGCACACGCGCGCGUACACAUACACACACACACACAAACAAUAUGGCUCCCCUGGGUGUUUUGCCUCCACACGACACCACCUACCAACGCUCAUUUCCCUUUCAGUCCAGCAGCAACAUGACACCCCAAAGACUGGGUCGCGUGAAGCAGCUUAUUGGCUGGGAGAAGGGCUGCGCUAUAUUUUUGGACAUGAUAUCCUCGUAGAUAACUGAAGAGCCAGAAUCUAAAAAAAAAGACUUCAUUUGUUGCGCGAAUAGUUAUUUCGGUGUGUAUGAGAGACUGAUUUGCAAGAACGAGGUGUGCGUUACACAUGGUUGGAUUUUUACUUGACAGAUCUGCCUCCCGGGGUCGCGUGGGUGUGUCCGUGCACACUUUUUCUUUCUACUCUUUUUGAUUUGAUCGUGGGGCGCGCGCACGUGAAAACCAGCAAUGUUUUUGGCGACCUGCCAGCUUAAAGAACCACUCCCACAUUGGACGGGCUUAUUAAUGAGUGGAUCAGAUUCACUGUAAGAGGCAACGGGGGGAAGGGGAAGCCUCCUAAUAAUAAUUUGAAUUGUGUUCUGAGCGGUCGGCUGGCUGUGUUUUUGGGUGAAGCCUGAAGCGUCUGAACUUGCGUAUGACUGCAACACAGAUGUCUGCUACCGGGACCCGGGCCCGAGGCUGAAUGUAUAAUCACGUUGCUCGUUCACCGGGCCCAAGCUUUCAAACUCCUUAAGAAAUCAAACCAGCACUAGCGUACCACAUAUCCCGGCAAACUUACCAUUUCUGAAUCGUCGGAAGAAAUAAUCGCGUUGAUUUUCUUUUUUUUCCGUUGAAUCUUUUAACCCGUGUUGAAUGAUUAACCCAUAGGGCUAUUUGGAGCCUUCUUUGUGUAACUCUGUGCAAGAAGCAUGCCCUGCGCACGUUAAAAGUGGUGUUUCUCCUGCACAAAGUGUCUUAUUCGUUGUGACCGGUUUAUACCUUACUUGGAAUAAGAGGGUCCUCAGCUUAACACACUCCUGUGCACUUUGGUUCAAGAUCAGACACCAAGGCAAGAAUCCAACUCGGAUGAUGAUGAUAUAUUUACUGGGGUUAUGUCUCCCAAUAGGUCUUUGUUCAUAGAAUUUCUCAAACAGAUAACAGAACGUAACCAGCUCUGUUGUAUCCUUUGCUGUCUAUGUAUAGAAUGUAUAGGGAAGAACUACCUGCAAAAUAAGUACUUGAGCAUUGGCGUUAAGGCAAAGAAAAUAGAUUUGUGUCAAUGCAGAAUCCACUGUAAAUCACCAUCAGUAAUUGUUCUUGUGCCCAAGAGAAACGAUUCACCCCUACACUCAUCAGAGAAGCAACAGGACGAAGAAACAGCCCAAAUCUAUUAUGAAACGAUGGUUUCAUUUGGUCAGUCUACCGGAUAUCAGGUUUUUGGGAGGGGUUUCUUACUAUUUUUUUGUGGUGUUCUGCGAUGGUUCUUUAAUUUAAUCGACACAAUAUAUAAAAGCAUACAUUUUGGAGAAAAGCACAAAAUACAUGCCAGUAUUGGAUUGGUUAGUUAGCUGUUGGCCUGAGAGGAAGUGAAAAAUAGCUUUAAUUAGAUUUCUAACAUGUGUACAUGUCUCAUGGAAGGCCCAUUCCUCACAUCAGUUAUUCAUGCUAUAUAUAUAUAUAUAUAUAAUUUCUGCGAGUCAUAUGUUUGUAUGCUAUGUAAAAAGGCUUAAGGCUUUUAAAACCUGUAAUUAUUAUUAUUAAAUGACCUGACAGAGAAAUAAUCAAUGUAUUGCAAUAAAUUAUUCUACCUAACAGUGCUGCAGAAGAGUAUUACUUAGUUUCUUUAAGUGAAUAAAAACGUUUUCCUUUGAAGAGAUGAGGAACUCACUCUCACUCUCUCGCAAUCAAACUUAUGACGGAGCGUUCAGGUCAGAACAAGAACAGAAGGACACAUGGUUGGUAUUGAGUUCACCAGGAUUUAUGAUAACGAAUAAUAUAUAAAAUAAUAAUUGUGCCAAUCAAAACUAAAAGCAGAACAAAAUAUGGUCACUUGAUGUACAACUUUGACCUAGGGAGAAACGGGUACGGGCAAGAGCUGAAGCUAAAGAAGAGAUACCUACUGUAUCCUUCUGUCAAGCCGUCACUCGGCCAUCACCCCCGCAGGUAAGUGACACUGUUGCCGCUUCAUGGUCACAUCAUGAUAUUGUGCACACAGUUGAAAUGCGUGUCUGCAUGACCGCUUUGUUUACACGUCACGCCUAUAGCCCAUAUCCAUCCACCGAAAAGGAGGAACUGGGAAUUGUAUUUUUUUUACGCCCAUUUAUUCUACAGUUGGAGGUCACAGUCCCACCACUUAUUCCCUUAGAGAUCUCUAGAGAGGCUCAAGAUCUUCUAAAAGCGAUCCAUUUCAAUCGUUGUUGAUAAUUGUAUUUAUUUAUUAGAAUAGGGACAGAUAUAAAAACAUAGUGUGAACCAGUCAUCUGAUGUAUGCAUCAUAGUGUUUUAGCCAAAGCUAAUUCAUGACAAUAUUGUGUGAAAAUGUAUAACAUACAGGAAUUAAGUGAGCAUGGCAUAGAAAGGUAUAGUAAAGCCAUAGCAUAGCAAGGGUCUAUCGUCAUGGUGGUUGGGGAGGAGGAGGCCCCACAGAAAAAAGUGGGUUGAUCGUGUCACCUAUCGAAACGCUUCGAUACAACGUGGCAGAGGAACCUUGAGAUUUCACGUACCUCCGUGGUUUGCAGUAAAAACCUCAGUUUGCUUCAGGCGGACUGGGUUAGUAGUUUCAUUCCGUGUUCUUGUGGCUUAAAAAAGAACCACACGGUCCCUUUGUCUGCUGCCUCCAUCUCGGUUCCUCUCUUCA